rnacentral:lncRNA from 1 species
AUAAUCAAAUAUGUGGGAAUUUUUUUGUUUAACUGUUUUAAUAUGUGAUUGGAUGAAUCUAUUUAUUGCUUUAUUAAUAUGAAAUCUGAUUGAUUAAAUUUGAAGAUACGAUAUUUUAUUUAUAAUCUCUUGUAUAUGGUUUUAACAUGUAUUAUUUUUGUAUGAUGGAAUAUCAUAUGAACAAGGAUCUGAGAGCUCAUUUGGGAAAAGUUACGACAUAUUAUAACUUUUUCAGCUAUGCGACAGUGAUUGAGGGGUUGGGCGAGGAGCACAUCGACAUACUCCAUCGAUCGUUUUUAUGGUCCUUCUAUCUUUUGAUAGACAAGUAGUUCUCUAGGUAGAUUUUUGAUUUCUUAUUACUCCAACUGCUUAAAUUAGUCGAUGGCGAUCAGCUUUAUUUUGCUAUGGGGGACGGGAAGGUAUCAAGAUUCUCGAUCCUUGAAUUUGCUCUCAUUACAGGCUUGAGAUGUGUUGGAGAAGAAGAAGCGAGAGCUCGUAUUAUACUAAAUAAAAGGUUAUUGGAUUUAUAUUUUGGAAGUAAAGGGUCGGUUACACCAUCACAGUUAGAGGACGCAUUUAGGAGAUGCGAUCACAUGGUAGACAAGCUGAAGUUAGGAUUGGUGUAUAUAUUGGAGAGUAUAUUGAGGUGUUGACAUCGUAGGACGUCGAUUGACCUUUUUUCAUUGGAUGUUGUUGAUGAUAUCGAUGCUUUCAACAGCUUUCAAUGGGGUUGGAGAUGUUGCACUGAUACUCUUCACGUAUUCAGGAAGGUACAUACUGUGCCGAAAUCAGAGAGGGGCGAGUGCAAAUAUGAUGUAUAUAGCUUUUGCAUGGCUUUGCAGGUAAUUAUUCAGCUUAACGUAAUGCGUGUUAAAAAACUUUUUUAUUAAAUGUAUAACUAACUUUUUUUUUCUUUUUUUUUCUUUUUUUUUUGCAGUUGUAGGCAUAUGAGGCUAUCUCUGCAUUGAGUAGCAAAAGGGCGAUCAGAAGGGAGGCCAGCUGCCCACGAAUGCUUCAUUGGCGAGCACAUAAGAAGCCAUUGGCUAAAGAUUUGACAGCUAUCCUCGACGAUUCUCAGGUGAGUAUUAUAUAUUUACAAUUUAUAUUGUACGUCGGCUCGAUACAUGCUCGUUAACAUGUUGAAAUAUGAUAUGUCAGCUCGAAGUUCAUGCUGAGUUGGUUGUUUCGAUAGAAGAGGAGGAUCAAAUAUAUGUACGUGAAUUACAUGUUUCACCUACUGAAAACGAUCCAGUGUUUGAAUCCGUUCCGAAUAGAAAUAGGGUACGUUUAUUUAAGAUCAUUAUUUAUUUUGACUUAUAAUAUUCAUGUGUGGAUUUUAUGAUUUUACAACUCUUUUUUUGUAUUUUUCGUAACUUUUUUUCAUUUUUCAGAGAUAGCUAUAUCAUCGACUGUAUGACCGUGCCCAAUGCUAAAAAGUGGUUUGAAAAUGUACUGACGACCUCAGCUUGGCUCGUCAAUGAUGUAAGUUUUUUGAGUUUUCAUUUAUUAUGUUUAUAGAAGUUGUUGGUUCAUUUACUUAAACGACUAUCUUUUUGGUUGGUGUUUUUUUGUUUCAGCAUAUCGACUUGAUUAUAGAAUUGUUAUGUGAUCGGGCUCGAAGAUACCCGAGAUCUUAUAACAGUCCUAGUCAAGUUAUCACGAUCUCCUAAGCAAGGGAAAUGAAUUUGUUCUGUCUAAGUACAUGCUGGAGUGGGUGAUUGGGCUACAGCUGAGGUGGGAAAAGUCGUGGAUGGAUUGUACACAUAUGUACAUUCCAGUGAUCGCGAACUUAUACUGUUUUUCAGUGGAGAUCAUAUUUGCUAUGAUGGCUAGUCAUGCGAUGAUUCUAGUAAAUGACGAUGGCAAGACAAGAAAGAUCGUAAGGAUUUAAAACUUUUUAAUUUUAAGAUUUAAUUUUUAGUUAUAUGUUAUCGAAUUAAUAUAUUCUUCUUCGGUUGCAGGGGCAACUAUGGCUUAUUUGCAAUAAAGUACAUAGAGUUUUUGAGCAUUGUUCGUAAUGUUGAUACAAUAAAUCAGUCUUGGAUUGAUAUGUGGAGGCAUAAAUUAGCUUGCUUUGUAUGAAUAUAAUUGUGAUCCUUAGUGCAUUGUAUAUUAUUUUAUUAAAAUGUGAAUGUUGUUUACUUUAGUAUGAUUCAUGUUAUAAUGUAAUAUGUUUUUUAAAUAUUUAAUUAG